GCUCGCUGACAACUGUAACAUGUUUGUAGUACAAACAGUACUUUGAAUUUGGGGUUCAAACCAGUUCAGGUUCUCUCAUGUGACUGGAAUGUUGGCAUGGUUCAGAAAACAAAAGUCAACUUUGAAAAAAAGAAAAAAUUGGCUCCUCCAGAAAGAGCGGUGGCUGAAGAGCUAAAUAAAUACACUGGCAUGCAAACAGGGUGACAGGGUUCUGUAGGUGGCUGCUAUAGGCUGUGAGACCUAAAACCACAAGAUGUACUUUGCCCACCUGCUUGUGAUAAGUGUUCAGCCGUUCCCUAGCAACAGCUAGGGUGUAACCGUUUGCAGCUUGGGUAUGCAAGGCACAACCAAUCAGGUUUAAUUGCCAAUCUAGAACCUUGCUGUAACUACUAUAAAAACCCCUGCUGAUUUGGAGUCAGGGCUCUCAAUCUUGACCCGCUGCGGCGGUGACGGUUGGGAGUCCCUGCUCGAGCUUGGAUAAACAACCCUCGUGUGUUUACAUCAGAAUCAGCUCCUUGGUGGUCUUUGGGGACCUCAAAAUCUGGGCACAACAUUUGGGGGCUCGUCCGGGAUCCCCAAGACCCCCAGGAUCCCCGUACUGGAGGGUCAAUGCUGGCUGCAGGAAAACUCAAAAUAUUCUGGGGGCUUUCAUCUCAGAAGCUGUGAUAACACCUAGCAAGCUCAAUGGAUCAUUGUUUGCUGAAUCAAAAUCCAGAAAUUAGAUCAUAAGAGGAAAAAAAAUAAUUAAAUAAAAUCUUUGGUUUGGAUAUCACAAUGCACUCUGCUAAUUUCUUUUGACUGGUACAUUUAAAAAGUUUACA
rnacentral:lncRNA from 1 species